UCUCCCGUGCAGGGUUGCCAUAUCAACAGGUUCUCUGUGAGUCUCUCGCUGCAGAUGCAGCAUUCUGGGAUGCUGUGAUGCGAGCUUGAACACUCCCAGCUUCUGCAGCCCUGCAUCCCUUCAAGUGCCCUCACUCUCUGCUUCCUGGGGCCUCUGCCACACGUCCCUGGGUGCAUUUUGCUUUUCCCAGUGCUGCCAGUUUGCAGCCUGCUGCCAGCAUCCCUGCCUGCAUCCAUCCCUGUGGAGCAAAGGCCCCUGGUCAUGCUUGAGCAGCUGCAGCUGAUGCUGAGGGGACGGGAGGGACACCGAGCCCACAGACAGGAAAUCAGCAGCCCUGGGAGCGUGUCCUGUCAGCAGCCCAGGAGCUGGGAGAAGCUGGAUGCUGCUGCUGCUGCUGCUGCUGAGCUCAGGCCGUGCCCCAAGCACCAGCAGUGAGUGCUGCAGCUCAGCCCAGCAGCGCUGCCAUGACCUGCCUGCCACACUGCACCUCCCACGUGCAACAGCCUCAAACCCUCCUAGAGCUCCACGGUGUCUCUCCAAGUGCUGCUUCUUCUCCCCGACGCCCCACAGAUAUGUUAAGUGACACAGGGCCACGGCAGAGCCUGCAAGCCCCUGCAGCUGCCCUGUGCUGGGAUGACAGCUGCCCGGCUUUUCCUCCUCUGUUUUCUCUCUCUUGGUGAGCCUUUGAUCCAUGGCAAUACUUUGCCUCUCGCACCAUGACAAUUUAAUUUCUAUAGUAACCUCCUGCGCUGGAUCUUGUCAAAAGGCUUUUUGAAAAUCUGAAUAAACUAUCGAGUGGUU